rnacentral:rRNA from 1 species
AGUGAACGCUGGCGGCGUGCUUAACACAUGCAAGUCGAACGAGAACGGAAUAUAGCUUGCUAUAUUUGUCAGCUAAGUGGCGCACGGGUGAGUAAUGUAUAGAUAACCUGCCCUUAAGAAAGGAAUAACAGUUGGAAACGACUGCUAAUGCCCUAUAUGCCUUUAAUACAUAAGUAUGCAAGGGAAACGCUUUAGUGCUUAAGGAUGGGUCUGUAUGGUAUCAGCUUGUCGGUGAGGUAAUGGCUCACCAAGGCUAUGACGCCUAACUGGUUUGAGAGGAUGAUCAGUCACACUGGAACUGAGACACGGUCCAGACUCCUACGGGAGGCAGCAGUGGGGAAUAUCGCACAAUGGACGAAAGUCUGAUGCAGCAACGCCGCGUGGAGGAUGACACAUUUCGGUGCGUAAACUCCUUUUAUAUAGGAAGAUAAUGACGGUACUAUAUGAAUAAGCACCGGCUAACUCCGUGCCAGCAGCCGCGGUAA